rnacentral:tRNA from 1 species
GGGGGAUUAAAGCCCCAUAAGUAAAUUUACAGUUUACCACCUAGUUCGGCCACCUGACC